rnacentral:lncRNA from 1 species
GCUGGCUGGUUACGGAAGACGGUUUGUUGAGAAGUGAUUCCUUGAGUAAAACGUGCAUAUGAAAGGAGUGAAGACAGUGAGGAGAAGAAGAAGAAGCGUGAAGCACAAGAAACAAGCAAGAAGAAUCAAGAAACGUGAAGGAAGGAAGAAGAAGAAAAGUCAACAAGGAAGUUAGUUAUGUAACUAGUAGUUAAGAAGUGAGUAGUCAAGUUAAGAGUCAGUUGAUUAGUAAGCAAACUAAGUUCAGAGUUGGUAAGAGAGUAAACUAAGAGAGUUGGUAAGAGUUGUUAGAAUAGUCAAGCUUUGAAGUGUAAGAUUAGUCUAAGACUAGAAGUAUGGAAUAGGUUUAAGUGACCAAGGAAGUAUGGUAAGUGUCAGCAAGAAGUCUAAUAUAAAGACUGUCAUCGUUUGUAAGAAGGUAUGCAAGUAUGAAUGAAAAAUCAGUUUGGAAAAACUAAGUCUUGCAUAAACAAAAACAGAGAGAAACAGAGAACAAGAGUAAGAGUUUAAGAGAGAAACAAAACAAAGAAAGAGACAAAGUGAAGAACAAAUGUGCAAAGGAGAAGAAUCUCAACAUGGUAUCAGAGCUCACUUGAUGCGUGGAGCCUGUUUAAU